UUUAAGUCAGCAGGUAUGUUUCAGGGUGACAAAUACAAAUAGCUUAGAAGCAUUCAGCAUGAUAAGAAAUUGUAGGUUUUUAUGUUUUCCCAGGUUCAGCUUGAAAUGUGUUUUGAAAUAACACUUCAGUUCUGAAAUGUGGAGGUGCUCUAAGCAUCUAUUGAGGUAAAUAUUGUGAAUUUCUGCCAAGAAGCCACCACAGUGUACAGCACAAAUGAUCCCUUUACUAAAAAGAGUGCUAGUUUCUUAGAGCAGACAAAGCUAUCAAGGAAACUCCCAACACCUCUGCUUGGCAUCAGGUGAUCAGCCCAUGAUGUGCAUGGCCCAUGAGGGCAUCAGCUGUACCCAGUAGUUACCUCCUGGAUCACCAUGUGAAUGCGUGCCAGCCUCCACAGGAUGCCCACUGUGUCUGCCUCUACACCAACAGCAUACUUUCAUUUUGUUCCAUCUCUAUCACCGCACUGGCUUCACCUUGUUCCCCAUGUCUCAGUCUACUUCUGUCCUGCUCAAAGCAGUCAGCAUAAUUCUGUCAAAGGGACCCAUUUUCUCUGUAAUCAUUCUAUCUCUUGGACUCAAGAUUAUCAGAGACAUGAGCAUUUUACCAUUAACAAGAGACUCUAUCAAGGGAAUGUGAGAGAAGAUGCCUCCUGAAACCCCUCACCUGCAGGUUCUGGGGAAUCGAUUGCUCGCGUUCACUAAGAAUCUCUUCACAAAGGUCAAACUGCUGAGUAGUGCAAAAGAAGAACUCUGAACAGGAAGCAUAAAGUAAGAGAGAAAACUCAGACAGUUUAUCACGAGUGUCCGAGUACAGCAGAAUUAAUCUCAUUAUGGCCUCUGUCUCACUCCUGGUCCCCCACUGGAAAAAUCCCAGUAUCCUCACUAUUCCCUUUACCCAAGUCUCCCCAGAAGACCGUGCAGGCCCUCGCAGGGAGGCUUUUGUGCUCCUGUAGCCUGUCUGCCCCUGGGCCUGCCAGGCUGAGAAUUAGGUUCUAUUCAUAAUCCUCACUGUCUCUCCAAGUCCUCCGACUUCUUCCCCAAGUCUCAUGUCAGACUAGACCACAUUAUUUCACUCAGUGGCCUUCACUGUUUCUACAGUGUAUUAAGAAGAUCUCCCUCUCCCCGGCCCUCUCAUUUCUUGAAGAUUGUUUAGCUCCUGGUUUCUAUCACUUUCUAGCCUUUCUCUAUCUUAAUGUUUGGUGACUUUGAGGUUCUGAUAGACGAUCUUUUUAGUGCUCUAGGCUCUCCAUUCCUUGAAUUCCUUCCUUCCAAAGCUUUUGUCCCCAGCUGUGCAGCCACACACUCCCAUGUUAUGUUCCAAAUCAACCAAUAAUUGUACCUCCUCUGUACUUCAAGUGUAUGCAGCCCAAUCUCAGACCACUAUCUCCUGUCUAUUCUCCUUAGGAGCUUGGCUCCAAGACUUCCCAACCUCUUAUCCACCUUGUCCUGCCAUUUGUUCACUGUUGCACACCCCGCACAGAUCCCUUGCCCUCUUUACCCAUCUUACACCCAUGGCUAAUCAUUAUGACCACUCGACAAAGGACUCCGGCUUCCCCAGCCUCUCUCUGACAUAGCUCUGCUCUGACAAAGUCACAGCUCACGUUGGACCUGCCGUAUUUUCCACCUGCCUCAUCUCUGCAUCUCUGCAGUUGAAUACAGCUGGAAAGAAGCACUCAGCCUCCUUCACUGGCUUCACGUUGAGGUCAAGACGACCAUCCUCGGCGAGACCUUCAAUACUGUCACGGAGCAGGGCCUCACUGUGUAGCCCAGGCUGGCCUUGAACUCAC